CACCUAUCUCGAGGUGCCUCAAGCUUCUCAUUUUUCUCAUAUCUCUUGGCAAUUCUCUAAGAGAUCGACAGUAGAAGAGUUUCAAUGUCUGCAGGUUUUGUAAGCUUGUAAUUCCACUAGGAAGUACCUUAAAUCCACCCCAAAAAAGGUCGAGAUACCUCAAACUACGCAAUUUAGUGAGAGACUUUGGCAAUGUAAGCCCCAAAACAGCCAAGCUUAACGCUCGUAAACACUUGCAAUUUAGAUGAAGUGUAUUCACCUUAGAAUUAGCCCAGGGAUCAUAAUCAAUACUAUUUGAGCGUAUAAAUAAGGUUCUUAUGGAUUUUCCCUUUGAAACCUUCAUUUCUCGACUCCGUCCUAAAAUUGAUACAUGAUAAAUUCUUUCCGGGAUUUCCGGGAUAGUUUUCACAUCAUUUGUAUCAUUUGUUAAAAUAAAGAUCUCAGACUUCACAAUAAAUUGUGCCAGAUCAUGGUUAUGGUCAUGCAUUUUGCAACUUAUUACAUUAUUUUCAUUAUCUAUCUUAACAUCUUGAAACAUUGACCAUGAUAAUAACUCCUUGAAAUAUUGAUCACCAACAUCCUCUAAAUGUUCAUUUUCAUCUAAAGGUUGAAUGUAACCUUGAGCCAUCCAUAAUUGAAUCAACAUUUUUUUCUCUAUUCUAUAGUCUUUUGGAAACAAUGCACAAUAAGUAAAACAUUGUUUCAAAUGACUUGGUAAAUUAUCAUAGCUUAACUUUAGUACCUUUAAUAUGUUGUUUCCAUCUUGAAGUGACAUUAGAUUUUUAUUGUUUUUUAUGGACGACCAUUUAGAUUUAGGAAUUCUUCCUAAAGUUCUAAUUACGAGAGGGACUCCAUUGCACAUUUUUGUGAUUUCUUCUCCUAUUUUUAAGAGGCUUGGAUGUGCAUUUUGUUGAUCUUCUCCAAAUGCUAAACUUUUAAACAAAGCCCAAGAUUGACCUUCGUUCAAGCCUUCCAAAACGUAUGGGGAAUCAAUUCCCAUAGUUGAUGCAACUUUAGAGUUUCGAGUAGUCACUACAACUUUACUUCCCCUAGCACCAACUUUCAACAAAAUCCUUAAUUGAUCCCAUUUUUCAAAAUCCUCAUUCCAAACAUCAUCCAAUACUAACAAGUAUUUCUUGGAAUUUAAUUUUCCAUGAAGUUUGUUUUUCAAUUGUUCCAACCCCAAGGUAUCUACAUUUUCAUCUGUUGCAGAUUUUAUGAUGUUUCUAACUAGGAUGUUCACACCAAAAUCCUCAGAAACACAUACCCACAACCUAAGAUCAAAAUGCUUUAGCACCUCCUGAUCAUUGUAUACCAAUUGGGCUAAGGUGGUCUUGCCUAAACCACCAAUACCAACAAUGGCAACAAUAGAAAGAUUUUCUUCAUUAUUUGAUUGCAACAAUAAUUUUAUUAUCUUCUUUUUAUCUUCAUCUCUUCCUAUAAUUUCAGACGUCAACACAAAAGAGUGGGUCUCUCUCCCCGUAUUCCCUACCCGCAUCCUAGUUGUCGCCCUUGGAAUAAAAUUGAACUUAGAGAUAUCAUUUGCAAUGCCAUCUAGCCUUCCUCUAAUAUCUUUGAUUCUAUGACCCAUUCUAAAAUGAAAUGCAGCCUGAUUUGAAGAUGAGAAGAAGCGACUAACCUGUCUUGCCAUUCCUCCUCGCCCCAAUUCAUAGGUUGCAAAGUCAUCCAGCAAAUCAUCCGCAUCAUAGAUGACAUCUUUGAACCUCUUCACCAAAACCUCCACUGCAUGUUCCCUCUCCUGCCGCUCCUCAGCAUCC
rnacentral:lncRNA from 1 species